rnacentral:misc_RNA from 1 species
GAUGAAGAACGCAGCGAAAUGCGAUAAGUAGUGUGAAUUGCAGAAUUCAGUGAAUCAUCGAAUCUUUGAACGCACAUUGCGCCCCUUGGUAUUCCAUGGGGCAUGCCUGUUCGAGCGUCAUUACAACCCUCAAGCUCAGCUUGGUGUUGGGCCCCGCCGCCCCGGCGGGCCCUAAAGUCAGUGGCGGUGCCGUCCGGCUCCGAGCGUAGUAAUUCUUCUCGCUCUGGAGGUCCGGUCGUGUGCUCGCCAGCAACCCCCAAUUUUUUUCAGGUUGACCUCGGAUCAGGUAGGGAUACCCGCUGAACUUAAGCAUAUCAAUAAGCGGAGGA